rnacentral:misc_RNA from 1 species
GAUGAAGAACGUAGCGAAAUGCGAUAAGUAGUGUGAAUUGCAGAAUUCCGUGAAUCAUCGAAUCUUUGAACGCACAUUGCGCCCUGUGGUAUUCCGCAGGGCAUGCCUGUUCGAGCGUCAUUUCAACCCUCAAGCCCCGCUUGGUGUUGGGCCCCGCCCGCCGUGGCCGGCCCUAAAGACAGUGGCGGCGCCGCCUGGCCCUCAGCGUAGUACAGCUCUCGCUCCAGGGUCCGGCGGCCGCCUGCCAGAACCCCCCAACUCUGUGGUUGACCUCGGAUCAGGUAGGGAUACCCGCUGAACUUAAGCAUAUCAAUAAGCGGAGGA